GUGCUCGCUUCGGCAGCACAUAUACUAACAUUGGAACAACACAGAAGUUAGCAUGGUCCCUGCGCCAGGAUGACACGCAAAUUCAGGAAGCGUACCAUGGUUUU
ensembl:snRNA LOC120100175 U6 spliceosomal RNA